rnacentral:tRNA from 1 species
GCGGCUAUGGUUCAGUGGUAGAACACGUCCUUGCCAAGGAUGAGAUGCGGGUUCGAUUCCCGCUAGCCGCU